rnacentral:rRNA from 1 species
UAAUACAGAGGGUGCGAGCGUUAAUCGGAAUUACUGGGCGUAAAGCGCGCGUAGGCGGCUUUUCAAGUCGAUUGUGAAAUCCCCGGGCUUAACCUGGGAACUGCAGUCGAGACUGUCUAGCUAGAGUAUGGGAGAGGGAAGUGGAAUUUCAGGUGUAGCGGUGAAAUGCGUAGAUAUCUGAAGGAA